rnacentral:rRNA from 1 species
UACCUACGGGAGGCAGCAGUGAGGAAUAUUGGUCAAUGGGCGGAAGCCUGAACCAGCCAAGUCGCGUGAGGGAAUAAGGCCCUACGGGUCGUAAACCUCUUCUGCCGGGGAGCAAGGGCCGGGACGAGUCCCGGUCCGGAGAGUACCCGGAGAAAAAGCAUCGGCUAACUCCGUGCCAGCAGCCGCGGUAAUACGUAGGUGGCAAGCGUUAUCCGGAUUUACUGGGUGUAAAGGGCGUGUAGGCGGGAAAGCAAGUCAGAUGUGAAAACCACGGGCUCAACCUGUGGCCUGCAUUUGAAACUGUU